rnacentral:rRNA from 1 species
AAGAUUAAGCCAUGCAUGUCUAAGUAUAAGCUUUUAUACAGUGAAACUGCGAAUGGCUCAGUAAAUCAGUUAUGAUCUACUUGACAAAUCUACUACUGGAUAUCCGUGGUAAUUCUAGAGCUAAUACAGUGCACUAAUCCCUGAUGUUUUGAUGGGAGCACUAGUUAGAUUCAUAAGCCAAAACCGCCAGGGCAACCUGGUAUUGCUUAGUCAUAACUAUUAAGCUGAU